rnacentral:lncRNA from 10 species
CAUAAACUGGAAAAUCCUGCCAGCUCUACCUUCAAAAUACAUCCAGAAGCAGAGCCAUGUCUUUUCCCUAGGUCCUGCCCAUCCUGAGCUGUCAAUCACUCCUGAAGUCUCCCAGAGCUGUCAACGAUUCCCUGGACCCAUGACUGUCCAGGUCCCUCAGGAGCUGACAAUCAUUCAUUGGCCCUGGGACACCAUUGAUUUUCCCAGGAGAUGACAAUCACCUUGUGGCCCUACGACGUCACAGGUUCCACACCUAAGAGUCAUCAAUCCUACCCUGGUCCUUGAUGUCAAAGACAUUCCAUCCCAGAGCUGUUAAUCAUUGUCUGGCCCCAGGACAUCACAGAUUUUCCCAGGGGUUGACGAUCACCUCCAGGCCUGUGACGUCAGAGGCCCCGCCCCCAUGAACCUUUGAUCGCUCAUUGGUCCCUGGACUUGGUGCAGAGAUGUCAAUUCCGCCCCAUCCAUGACGUCACAGGGGAGUGAGCCAAUGGCAGCCGUUCAGGCUUGGGGCGGGGCUGUCUCCGCGGAGCGGGAAAGGGUGAUGCGGUCUGGGUACCCUUACCCUGGGCCGAUUGCGUCUGUACAAAGGUCUUGAUUAGCAGGUCGGUGGCCUGCGUGUAGAGCGACAGGGCAUAGCGCAAGGAUUGCAGGUCCGGGCUCUUCUCCAGGAAGGUCUUCUUGAGGCCCACGCCACCCGCGUGGAAAUAUUGCUGGGGAGGACAGGGUGGGGAGAGGUGAGGAUGGUGGGAACCUCUACCCACUCAUAGGGCUGGGUAGCCCUGCUGUCCCCACUCCCAAUUCUUCCCGCUACUACUUUCUCACCUCUUCCUUUGCUUUGCCUAGUGAACUCCUAUGCAUUCCUCAGAACCCACCUCUCACAUGCCGUCUUCCAGGAAGGCCUGGCUUCUCCCACCUUGGGCUCGCCCAGCCCCCAUCCUUCCCUCUACCCUUCUACACCUCAAGAAAUGCCUGGCACGAGGUCCUUUACAUCCUUCCCUCUACACCUUCUCACUCUUUGGGCUCCCCCAGCCCACAUCCUUCCCUCUACCCCAAGCCUAAUCCUACAAGGCUGAGAAUGUCUGUAUCCAGCAGUCUUCCCCGACCUGGGGCUCCUUAAGGCUCCAGCAUUAGCCAGCCCAGCUCUGGCACAGACAGGGGAACGAGGGAGUGUCCAUAAAUUGAACAAAUUAAUGUGGGUCCGAGGCGAGCCUAAGUCCAUGACCACAGCAGCCACACCCUCUACAUCCCCCACCUGGGAUGGGGAGGGGUAGGGCCUCUCACCUUGAUGGUGUCCAGGGCCAACUCAACAACCGCGCACUGCUUUGGGGUCAAGCUCUUGGCUUCUUCUCGUACCAUGUGAUCCUGGAUGGAUGGGGAGAGGGGCCAUGUGGGUGGAGUGGGCUCCACCUUUGGAAUCUGUGUCUAUGGGUCUCAUCCCUGUUCAACUUGGAGGAGCUGGGCUGAGGGUCUAUGUUUUCAUCAUCCCAGCACCCAAUAUGUGACUGGUACACAGCAGGUGCUCAAAAAAUAUUGGUUGAAUAAAUGACUUGCCCUCUUGAUCAAGCUGUACCUGAAGCUGAACCAUUCACAUCUUUCUGACACACUGGGGAGCAAAUAUCUUGUGCUUCAGUGAGUAGAGUUUCUGUCCUUUGAGCCUGUAAUGCAUGUCAUCAUCCUGGGACCCCUCCCCCAGGAUGGUGGCAACCUGGAAGCCACAUGAGUU